UGCAGAAAACCCCACAGAACAGGCGUGCCACUGGCAGGGACCCUCGGCAUAGGUCACGUCUCCCUGUGCAGGUGCACUGACGUGCGGCAGGCACUGGAGCUCAGGGAGCGGGGGCCCCAAGGCCAGGCAAACGCCCGCGAGGAGCACGCGCAGCCACACGUGCAUCUGUGAUCAUGUGAUUACAGGGCUCGGGAGCCCUGGCUGCAUACCGCUCGCAGGCUCACGUGCGCCAGGCUCUGUGCCAAGGGCCGUGCCUACGUCUCGGGGAAGCCGAGCGCCUGUCCAGGGCGUUGAGGCUCUGGCCGCAGAGGAGCGCGGAGCACCGGGGCUAAUGGACUUCUCAGCAAUGCUGCGUCGGAACAGGUUUGAAUCUCGAGCCCACACGCAGCGACGCAGCUUGGGGGCGAAUCACCGGCAGCAGCUGCAGAGGAGGUGCAGUCCUGGCCUGCUCAGCACACAGAGGCCUCCCAGGGGCAGGUGCAGUCACAACUGUGUAAGUUACAGAAGAUGGAAACGUCUGGCCACAGGCAAGAGCCUGCUCUGGUGUCUCCAGAAGCCCACCCAUCACCCCUCUCUGUCCUCAACUCCGCCUGACAAACAACCUGAGGUAUGUCUGGCUUUUGUUUAAAUAAUGAACACGCACACCCGGUUCUCUCCAAACUCCUUUGCACCAUGCUGACAAGCCCUCCAGAAUGAACCAGCCCUGCAGGAGGGUCUCUCAACCAUCCGAGGCAAGAAGUGCCACCUGGGGGACGAAGAGCCCCGCUGGGUCACAGGCCCAGCCCAUGGUCACCUGCGUAGACCACAGACCUGUGGGAAGCGCACGCGUGAUGGCUGAGCCGCUCUGAAAGGAGGGGGCGCAGCCAGCAGGCGGGGAACUCACGUGAGGGACAGAUGCCCCGCCACACACGACGCAGCCCAGGUGCCAGGCACAGGGCUGAGGGACAUCAAAGCAAGCAGAUAGACCAGUGACUGCACCCAGACAACCCUAAGCCCAAACGGCCAGGGAACACUCCGAACAGCGGCUUUCUGUCCGGAGCACUAAGCUCUCUUGGGGGCCAGGCCUGGGCCCUGGCAGGUGAGGCUGCCCCGCGCCUUGCAGGAGCGGUGUGGCGUGCAGGUGCCGACCCGUGUCCCAGGCGCGGCCGGCUCAGAGCACAGUCCUGCCACGCACGACGGGCACCGCGGCUGUCCUGUUAGCGCUGUCACUGGGGACAGGCUUCCCCGCAGUCCCAGACGCCUCGGCGGGACCCGCCCAGGACGGCCCUGACGCCGCCUUCACCCUGGGAACGGCGAGAGCCUCUGAUGGGCAGGUUGUCCCUGAGGCCACGGGUCCACACAGCCUCCCUUCUCCCUGGGCCGUCUCGCCUUUCUCAACCCACCCAUGGCCCCCUCGUACUUCGCCCUUCACAGUUAAGCCUCUUCCUGAAGAGAAUGAUGAAAAUCUUACCCCGAAGCGCUGGGGGUAGGGGCUGCAGUGCUGGGUCCUUUCUCCCCACCCCGGCAGGGCCUGGGGAGGCAUUCCCCCUGGCCCCUCGCCCAGGGUCCCUCCAACGUGCAAGCUCCCCGCCAGCCCCCAGGAGGGGGCCCAGGUCACGCCCCGUCAAUGGAGUGACUCUUGUCCACCCUGGCCUGCCGCAAACACCUACACCACCACCGUGAGCAGCCUGGACGGGCCUUUCCCUGGAGCAUGGGUCUACCGGGCGCCUAUCCGACUAGAGCUCGGCCAGCCAACGGACUGGUGGGUGGUGGGCCCUAGGCCAGGGGUGCUCGGGGCGGGGGCUUGCUGUGAGCGGGCAGUGGCCUCACAGAGGAAGGAGGCUUCAUCUUGCAGUGGUCUGCUGCAUGGACGCAGGGCUGAUUCAGGGACACCUGUGCAGGCCCGAGGGUGACAGGGACGUCCUUCCACGUGGCAGGCAUGCCGUGUCACCUACCAGCUGCAACUUAUUUCCAUUGAACCCGACACAGCCGUGGUCCUGGCGUCAGAACUACCAAACAAGACACACUCAGAGCAUCAGCUGCCGUCUCUGCAGCCCAGGCCCCUCCUCCCCGCACGGCCACCCUGGUUGCUGGGACUCACCCUCACCGUUUCUCCUAAAACACGAGUGUGUGCAUCCAUCUCCCUCCCCUUCCUACACAAAGGGGGGCCUGCAGGCCAGCUCCUGCCAUUUGCUUUUCUCGGAAUAAACGAGUGCCUCCCACUGGCC